rnacentral:rRNA from 1 species
GCGUACGGGUGCGGAGCACGUGUGCAACCUGCCUUUAUCUGGGGGAUAGCCUUUCGAAAGGAAGAUUAAUACCCCAUAAUAUGUUGGAUGGCAUCAUUCGACGAUUGAAAACUCCGGUGGAUAGAGAUGGGCACGCGCAAGAUUAGAUAGUUGGUGAGGUAACGGCUCACCAAGUCUACGAUCUUUAGGGGGCCUGAGAGGGUGAUCCCCCACACUGGUACUGAGACACGGACCAGACUCCUACGGGAGGCAGCAGUGAGGAAUAUUGGACAAUGGGUGAGAGCCUGAUCCAGCCAUCCCGCGUGAAGGACGACUGCCCUAUGGGUUGUAAACUUCUUUUGUAUAGGGAUAAACCUACCCUCGUGAGGGUAGCUGAAGGUACUAUACGAAUAAGCACCGGCUAACUCCGUGCCAGCAGCCGCGGUAAUACGGAGGGUGCAAGCGUUAUCCGGAUUUAUUGGGUUUAAAGGGUCCGUAGGCGGAUCUGUAAGUCAGUGGUGAAAUCUCACAGCUUAACUGUGAAACUGCCAUUGAUACUGCAGGUCUUGAGUGUUGUUGAAGUAGCUGGAAUAAGUAGUGUAGCGGUGAAAUGCAUAGAUU